GGGGCUGAACAGGGUUCGACAUGCUAGAAAAAGCCAAUGGACGACUAGUGGCUGGGCAGGCCACUCUAAAAAGGCCCAUCUCACAAAUGCCGACGAUUCGCUCGCAUUCAUGGCUUCGGUUGCCGACAUGGCUUCCAUGUCUGGCAGCCGCGCUUACGUGUAAACGUAAGCAGCCAUCAGGGCUGCGCUCGCCCUGGUAACCAAAGUAGCGGGUUCCGGGUACCUAGCCCAUGCUAGUCCAAAAAGCCCGGUGGUGCGCGAUAGAGGGAGCGCCAAAGGAAAUCCUGGGAAAGGCGCUAUAUAAGAUAGAACCAGGUGAUAUGGUCGUAUGAAGUUGGUGGAUUCUAUCAUGGACGCGGGUUCGACUCCCGCCAGCUCCAUAA
rnacentral:tmRNA from 1 species